UUUUGAUUGGGAUGCUGAGGUCCUUUCCUUCACCACUGUUCUGAUUUUGGUUGUAAUGAAUUUGAAAAUAAAGUGAACUGGCCUGGGGAUGAUAAUAGUUUUGUAUUUUUCAUUAUACUUGGUGUUUAUUUUGAUUUUAGUUGUGGUUUUUAACUUGGAUUUUAAUUCAUAUUCAGGGCAAGUUGCUUAGUUUUUAUCAGUGUUUAUCAGUACAGGCAAUUAUAUGAGUGGAGUUCGCCUCCAACUUUGCUGGUCAACAACACUAAACGUCCCACGGUCCUUCGCUAGAGGGCGUCAGGGACCUCUCUCAAAUGACGUCAUCAUUACGUUGCAGAUAAAGCGACGACGACAGUCACGCUUGGUUAAAGCACUCAAACAGAAGCUUGUUGCCUUCUAUUUGUCUGCAUUAGAUAAACACGUAACUUAUGUGGCAUUAGCCACAUUACAACUGCAACGACGAAAGUGCUAGAAAAUGUUUGCAAGGACCACAGCAAAGUACGUGGAGGUAAAGGACCGUGGUCCUCAACGACUGGAAGAUCUUUGGCUGCAGCCGUAUGUUGUGUUGCACAGAGUAGACAUCAGUGAAGCUAUUCAUCCUGAACAGCAGGAGCCAGAACGCACUCGCAUUAAAGUGGAAGAUGUGGGCAAAGAGGUCCACCACUUGAAUGAACGAAUGGAGCAGACAUUUCUUUGCGCUAUAAAAGAGGAGGAAGAGCCAGAGCUGCCUUGUAUUAAAGAGGAGAGAGAAGACUCCUGCAACAUUAAAGAGGAGGGAGAAGACUCCUAUGACAUUAAAAAGGAGGAAGAAGAGGAGAUCUGCAAGGUGCCAUUGACUGGUGUAUUUGUGACAA